AGCAGCCGCGGUAAUUCCAGCUCCAAUAGCGUAUAUUAAAGUUGUUGCAGUUAAAAAGCUCGUAGUUGAAUUUCGGGGUCAGUAGGUUGGUCGUGCCACCGGUACGUACUGGUCUCACUGAUUCCUCCUUCCUGAUGAGCUGUAAUGCCAUUAAUUUGGUGUUGCAGGAAAUCUGGACUGUUACUUUGAAAAAAUUAGAGUGUUUAAAGCAGGCUAACGCUUGAAUACAUUAGCAUGGAAUAAUGAAAUAGGACGUUCGAUCCUAUUUUGUUGGUUUCUAGGAUUGACGUAAUGAUUAAUAGGGAUAGUUGGGGGCAUUAGUAUUCAAUUGUCAGAGGUGAAAUUCUUGGAUUUAUUGAAGACUAACUACUGCGAAAGCAUUUGCCAAGGAUGUUUUCAUUAAUCAAGAACGAAAGUUAGGGGAUCGAAGACGAUCAGAUACCGUCGUAG
rnacentral:rRNA from 1 species